rnacentral:tRNA from 1 species
GAGGGCACAGCUCAGUGGUAGAGUGUGCGCCUAGCACGCAUGAGGUCCUGGGUUCCAUCCCAGUACCUCCA